CUGCUUUUCCAACUACCUUUCCCAACCAACCAACCCACUAAAACCAACCAACUACCCACACCCAAACCUCGGGUAAGCCCUUUUAUAAACAGAAGUUCCUUCUGUAUAAGAAAACCAUAACAUCUGAAGACUUCAUGAUUGCCGAGAGCUAUAAUUUGUUCCCCUCCUGUGUGACAGGGCACACGUUGUCAAAAACACGUCACUGAACUCUUCUCGCUUGCCUUGAGGAAGGAUAGAGAUGGCAGGGAAUGGGGAGUAUACAAUCACAAACAUUUGGCUGGGCGAGGAAGGGGGAAGCCACAACCUGAAUCCAGGUGGCACACUAUAUUGUUGUUUCGUUCUUUAUCACUGUUAUUCUGUGUGGUUAUUUUAUUGUUAGUACCCUCUUUGAGAACUGAAAAGGAAUAGGCUAUAAAUUCUUCAAACAAACAGCUGGACUGGGGAUAUAGAAAUUGUGCUGUUGCUAAAUCCUAGACAGAUAGAAGAAGCGGAAAAGAAGCAAAAAUGAAAUACACUGUAUAUGCAGCCUCUGUUGUAGUUGCUGAGGUAUUUGGAUCUCUUGCAUCCUCUUACUACCUUUUCCAAUUGAUUAUAUAAUCCAAUUUAUAAUUUUUAAAAUGCCUACAGUGUAUUCUUUAGAGUAGUCCUACACCCAUAUAUAUUUAUCAAGGCCGGCCCUGUCAUUAGGCAGUAGGAAGAAGCUAUCUCAGGCAGCAGGUGCUGAGGGCCAGGGAGCACACAGAAUAUGUCACACAGCCUAUUCUGUAGCCCCCAGGCCAGCAUGCUGCCCUUAGCUGCAAUUGAGGAGGUUCUCCCAUUACCAGUGUUCAAGUAGCAUUCAACUGCUAGGCUUACAGACCCUCCAAGUGUCCCUAUUUUCCAGGGACAGCCCCAUAUUAACAGAAGCCAUCCUUGUUUCUGAUUUGAUCCCACAAUGCCCUGCGUUUCCUUAGGACGUCCCUAUUUCCAUCAGAUAAAUGUUGGAGGGGAUGGAGUUAUUUGACCCACCAAGGCAAGGAGAUAAGUAACUAUACAACCUUUAAAAGACAUCUGAAGGUAGCCCUGUAUACAGAAGUUUUUUAAAGAUUUAAUUUUUUUAAUGUUUUUAUAUAUGUUGGAAGCUGCCCAGAGUGGCUGGGUCAACCCAGUCAGAAAACAACAACAACAACAACAACAACAACAACAACAACAACAACAACAACAACAACAACAACAAUUUAUACACCACCCAUCUGGCUGAGUUUCCUCAGCCACUCUGGGCGGCUCCCAAUUGAGUGUUAAAAACAAUACAGCACUAAAUAUUAAAAACUUCCCUAAACAGGGCUGCCUU